rnacentral:rRNA from 1 species
ACUCAAAUGAAUUGACGGGGGCCCGCACAAGCAGCGGAGCAUGUGGUUUAAUUCGAAGCAACGCGAAGAACCUUACCAAGGCUUGACAUCCCGACGCCUGGCGUAGAGAUACGCCUUUUCUUCGGAACGUCGGAGACAGGUGGUGCAUGGUUGUCGUCAGCUCGUGUCGUGAGAUGUUGGGUUAAGUCCCGCAACGAGCGCAACCCUUGUCACUAGUUGCCAGCAUGUAGAGAUGGGAACUCUAGUGAGACCGCCGGGGAUAACCCGGAGGAAGGUGGGGAUGACGUCAAAUCAUCAUGCCCCUUAUGUCUUGGGCUACACACGUGCUACAAUGGCCGAUACAAAGAGCAGCGAACUCGCAAGGGCAAGCGAAUCUCAUAAAGUCGGUCUCAGUUCGGAUCGUGGGCUGCAACCCGCCCACGUGAAGUCGGAGUUGCUAGUAAUCGCGGAUCAGCAUGCCGCGGUGAAUGCGUUCCCGGGCCUUGUACACACCGCCCGU